CUAAUCAAGAAUCCAUCUAUCUCUGCCUUAAAAAUAUCCAUUAACUUGGCCUCCACAGGUUUCUGUGGCAAAUAAUUCCACAGAUUCACCACCCUCUGACUUAAUAAAUUUCUCAUCUUCUUUUUCCUGAAAGAACGUCCUUUCAUUUCAG